rnacentral:tRNA from 1 species
CAGAAAGUAGUUUAGUUGAAAAUUCCAGCUUUGGGAGUUGGUGAUGAAGGUUCGAUUCCUUCCUUUCUGA